AUUGAACGCUGGCGGCAGGCCUAACACAUGCAAGUCGAGCGGAUGAAGGGAGCUUGCUCCUGGAUUCAGCGGCGGACGGGUGAGUAAUGCCUAGGAAUCUGCCUGGUAGUGGGGGAUAACGUCCGUAAACGGGCGCUAAUACCGCAUACGUCCUGAGGGAGAAAGUGGGGGAUCUUCGGACCUCACGCUAUCAGAUGAGCCUAGGUCGGAUUAGCUAGUUGGUGGGGUAAAGGCCUACCAAGGCGACGAUCCGUAACUGGUCUGAGAGGAUGAUCAGUCACACUGGAACUGAGACACGGUCCAGACUCCUACGGGAGGCAGCAGUGGGGAAUAUUGGACAAAGGGCGAAAGCCUGAUCCAGCCAUGCCGCGUGUGUGAAGAAGGUCUUCGGAUUGUAAAGCACUUUAAGUUGGGAGGAAGGGCAGUAAGUUAAUACCUUGCUGUUUUGACGUUACCAACAGAAUAAGCACCGGCUAACUUCGUG
rnacentral:rRNA from 1 species